AAAACGCUCGUAGUUGGGUUUCUGUUGGGAGCACUGGUCUGCCCAAGUGGCGAGAACUUGUUCUGUUCCUGGCAUCUUCUUGGGGAACAAGCGCGCACUUCAUUGUGUGGCUCGGAAACCAGGACGUUUACUUUGAGGAAAUGAGAGUGCUUCAAGCGGGUGACCGCCACGAAUACGUUAGCAUGCAAUAAUAGCAUUGGACCUCGGAUCAUAGCUGUUGGUUGCUAGACCUGGGGUGAGGGUAAACAGGGACAGUUGGGGGCAUUCGUAUUUAACUGUCAGAGGUGAAAUUCUUGGAUUUGUUAAAGACGGACUACUGCGGAAGCAUUUGCCAAGGAUGUUUUCAUUGAUCAAGAACGAAAGUUAGGGGAUCGAAGACGAUCAGAUACCGUCCUAGUCUUAACCAUAAACUAUGCCGACUAGAGAUUGGAGGCUGUUGCUAUUCCGACGCCUUCAGCAUCUUGGGAGAAAUCAAAGUCUUUGGGUUCCGGGGGGAGUAUGGUCGCAAGGCUGAAACUUAAAGGAAUUGACGGAAGGGCACCACCA
rnacentral:rRNA from 1 species